GACCCCAUAGCUCAGUGGUAGAGCGUGAGAUUCCAGCGGAGUAAACCUCCUAAUCGUCUCCUCAAGGUCAUCCGUUCAAUCCGGGUUGGGGUCA